UACGGAGGGUGCGAGCGUUAAUCGGAAUUACUGGGCGUAAAGGGUGCGUAGGUGGUUUGGUAAGUUAUCUGUGAAAUCCCUGGGCUUAACCUGGGGCAGGUCAGAUAAUACUGCUGGACUCGAGUAUGGGAGAGGGUAGUGGAAUUUCCGGUGUAGCGGUGAAAUGCGUAGAGAUCGGAAGGAACACCAGUGGCGAAGGCGGCUACCUGGCCUAAUACUGACACUGAGGCACGAAAGCGUGGGGAGCAAACAGGG
rnacentral:rRNA from 1 species